UACGAAUGAGUUGUCCUAUUCAUUGUCGAUACCACCCACCCACCUACCACCGAACAAAGCGGCGCUUAGUAACUGCCAGUUUGACUAUUUAGUUUCCCUUCGACAUCGACAAAGGAGCCACCGUAACUAUUUUCUCCUUAUCAGUGAAUCAUUUUCAUUCUACAAUGUCUUAGGCCAUUCUUCUGCAUUUUUAUGGUUCUCCGUGUUUUCCUUCUCCAGAAAAUCACCAAAUGGCCAUAGUUCCCAUCACCUACAGCCACACAUGGACCUUCUCUAAUCCUCAUUAUGCACUUCCCCUCUUCCACUCACGCACCAAUUUCACUAGGAUCAAAUUUUCUCCCACCAAGUAUGGUGAUGGCCUUGCCCCCUCUUCACCCCUCUCUCAUUUCCGAGUAUUUUGCCGAUCUGAGAGAGAGACAAUUGAGAUAAGAAGGUGCGCCCCUUUUCUAGAAAGUUCAACACUCGUAGAUAAUGGUGGUGUGGCCUCAGAUGAGUGGAAAGUAGUUCCUGAUAUUUGGCGAUCUUCUGCGGAGAAGUAUGGUGACAAUGUAGCCUUAGUAGAUACAUGUCAUCAUCCUCCUACUACUAUGACGUAUAAACAGGUGGAGCAGGCAAUUUUGUAUUUUGCAGAAGGCUUGAGAGUUAUAGGGGUAAAACCUGAUGAGAAGGUUGCACUUUUUGCGGACAAUUCAUGUCAUUGGCUUGUAGCAGAUCAAGGUAUGAUGGCAAGUGGAGCAAUAAAUGUGGUAAGAGGCUCAAGGUCAUCGGUUGCAGAACUUUUGCAAAUAUACAACCACUCUGAAAGCGUUGCACUAGUGGUGGAUAACCCUGAAAUGUUCAACCGGAUUGCAAACACAUUCUAUUCAAGCACUACCAUGAGGUUUAUUAUCUUGCUUUGGGGAGAAAAAUCAGAGCUGGUUGAUCAAGAAAGCAAGCACGUGCCAGUGUUUACUUUCACAGAAGUCAUAGAUUUGGGACGAGAGAGUGGCAGGCCAUUAUCUAAGGCUGAACAGCGCCAUAUGAAUGAACCAAUACACUUAGACAGUAUUGCUACUCUCGUAUACACAAGUGGAACUACUGGAAAUCCCAAAGGUGUAAUGCUCACCCAUCAGAAUCUUCUGCAUCAGAUAAAAAACUUAUGGGACAUAGUACCUGCAAAAGUUGGGGAUAGAUUUCUAAGCAUGCUGCCACCUUGGCAUGCAUACGAAAGAGCUUGUGAGUAUUUCAUUUUCACAUGCGGAAUUCAGCAAGUAUACACAACCGUGAAGAAUCUGAAGGAUGAUUUGCGACGCUAUCAACCACAUUACUUGAUUUCUGUUCCUUUAGUUUUUGAAACCUUGUACAGUGGAAUCAUGAAGCAGAUAUCUACUAGUUCUGCUGUUAGAAAGCUUGUCGCACUAACAUUCAUUAGGGUCAGCUUAGCAUACAUGGAAUGUAAGCGCAUUUAUGAGGGUAAAUGUCUAACAAUGAACGAGAAGCAGGUCUCCUACGUGAAUUCAAUGUUGGACUGGCUGUGGGCCAGAAUUAUGGCCACAUUAUUACUACCGGUUCAUAUUUUGGCUAAGAAACUUGUGUACAGUAAAAUCCAUGCUUCUAUUGGAAUAUCAAAGGCUGGAAUAAGUGGAGGUGGUAAUUUGCCGUGGGAAGUCGAUAAGUUUUUUGAGGCAAUUGGUGUGAAAGUACAAAAUGGAUAUGGUUUAACAGAAACUUCACCAGUUGUAGCAGCUCGAAGACCUGGAUGUAAUGUUCUUGGAUCUAUUGGGCAUCCAAUUCGUGAAACGGAAUUCAAAGUCGUAGAUUCUGAAACUGAUGAAGUUCUUCCACCUGGUUCAAAGGGAAUUUUAAAAGUCAGGGGUCCACAAGUGAUGAAAGGAUACUUCAAGAAUCCUUUAGCUACAAUUCAGGCAUUAGACGGUGAUGGAUGGUUGAAUACUGGUGAUAUAGGGUGGAUUGUUCCCCAUCAUUCAAUUGGGCGGAGUCGUCAGUCUAGUGGCAUGAUUAUUGUGGAAGGCCGUGCUAAAGACACUAUCGUACUUUCGACGGGUCUUUCUUCUUCUUUUUUCCAUUCUUGCACCAUGAUGGAUGAGCAUAACCAGCCUUUGAGCUUUUUGAGUCUUCACCCGAGAGCCCAACCAACUCCUUGGUUUCCCCUAUUCUUGAUUCAACCAAUUACUAUGCAUGGAGAAAAUCCAUGACCACUGCAUUGAGGGCCAAGAAUAAAUCUCAGUUCAUCGAUGGGACUGCCGCAGAACUACCUCAAGGAGAUCCCUCUCAUAACGCCUGGAAAAGAUGCAACAACAUGGUGGUUUCUUGGUUGGUCCACUCAGUUUCACCAAAAAUUAGACACAACAUUCUUUGGAUGGAAGACGCCCUAGCAAUCUGGAAUGAUCUCAAAUCAAGAUUCUUCUAGGGAGAUUUGUUGCGCAUCUCCGAGCUACAAAGAGAAGCUUCUUCCCUAAAGCAAGGAACAUACACCGUCAGUGAGUUUUACAUUAAGUUGCGUAUCAUAUGGGAUGAGUUAGAGAACUUUCGACCUGAUCCCAUAUGCACUUGUGACGUCCAAUGCUCCUGCAAAAUGAUCUCAACGAUCUCACAAAGGAAGCAUGAAGACCGAGCAUUGCAAUUCCUUCGUGGCUUAAAUGAGUAGUAUAGUAAUAUCCAAUCUCAUGUCCUCUUAUUGGAUCCUAUACUCCCCGUUUCCAAGAUCUUUUGCUAUGCCAUGCAGCAGGAAAGAAAAUUGAUGAAUAACAAUUUCUUAAAUAGCCUUGAACCCAAAAAUGUCAAUGCAACUAUAUGUACUCUUAUUUGUUCCUUUUGUGGCAAGACUGGCCACACUGGCACUGUGUGUUUCAAGAAACAUGGGUUUCCUGCAAAACUCCCUCCAAAUAAGAAAUAUUGCUCUCACUGUGGCAAGACAGGCCAUACGGUUGAUGUAUGCUAUAGGAAACAUGGAUACCCACCCGGUCACAACUUCUACAAUGGUAAAAGUCUCCUCUCAAGAAGCCAAGAACCCAUCAAUGACAGUCCGAGAUAUAAUUUUGAUCCUGAAGUGCGCCUCACUAAGCAAUAAUAUUAGGCCCUCGUGGCUCUCAUGAACCCCACUGCUGACACUGCCUCCAACCCUCAAAUCGGUUCCGUGAUUUCCAAUUCCCAAGACCCAGGAUUCAACAACCACAAUAUUGGUUCAGCUGACCUCCACGCUAGUCUAUAUGUCCUUCAUGGCCCUACCCUCACUAUUGUUUCUUUUGUUCACUUUGCUAGUUCACAACAGCCACUCAUUGCUGCCAAUAACAACAUUUGUCACAACUGCUUAGGCAACCUAUCUGAUAAGAGACUGGAGGUUCCUAAACAAAAAUAUUCUUACAUCAAAUAUAGAUAAAACAAUUGUAAUGUCUGCCACAUUGCCAAACAAAAGAAAUUGCCUUUUACUUCACAUAACUCUGUUGCUUUACAUGCUUUUGAUCUUAUACAUAUAGAUAUUUGUUGACCUUGUUCCAUUGCAUCCAUACAUUCUCAUAGAUAUUUUUUAACAAAUGUCGAUGCAAGAAAUCACAUUUUGCAUUUCAUAUCUUAUAUCAAAAACCAAUUUCAAACCACCAUUAAAAUCAUCAGAUCUGAUAAUGGUCCUGAAUUUUCUAUGCACGACUACUUUAGUCCUCAAGGGACUUAAACCUCCUGUAAUGAAACCUCUCAACAAAAUAGGAUUGUUGAAAGAAAACAACAACACCUUUUAAAUGUCACUAGGGUCUUGCUUUUUCAUUCAAAACUUUCUACUCAAUUAUGGACAUAUGCUCUCAAUUAUGCCACUCUUCUCAUUAAUAUCAUGCCUACUCCCCUUCUCAAUAACGACUCUCCAUAUGACAAACUUUACCACACAACUUUUGAUAUCACUGGACUUAGAGUUUUCGGAUGCCUUUGCUACACCAACACCCUUCAAUCUCAUAGAAAGAAACUAGAUCCGCGUGCUAUUGCUAGUGUUUUCAUUGGUCUUCAUCCCACUGCUAAAGGAAAUAUAACUUACAAUGUUGACACUCAUGCCAUUCACAUCUCUAAAAAUGUUGUUUUCUGUGAAAAUGAAUUUCUUGAUAUGGCAUCUAUUUCCUCACUUCAUUAUGCUUUACCUCCCUCUAUCAUCACAUCAUCAUACCAUUCUACAUGAUACUGAUCAACCCACUCCCCCUGUCCCUAAUCAUUCUUCUUCUCUUAACAAUGAAGAGCAUUUAGACAAUAAUUUCAUUUCCCCUAGGCGAUCUACUCGCACUAGAACUAUGCAUGUGUUAUGACCUCGGCAAGUGUACCGAAUUGUAUCAAGUAAUAAAUAUGGUAAGACCAAAUAUCGUUUCUCAAGAGAUUCACAGCCUAAACAGUUAUGUGAUUUCCUGAUUAAAUAUGACUUGAGAACAAAAUCUUUUGGUUUAAAAUGCAGAAAAUAAACAUGAAUGCUAGUGUUGAUCAAUGGACAAUAAAAAUGCACAUGUGAUUGGUUUGUAAAAUAUGGAAUGGUUAUGUUGUUUGGGGUUUCGACUUAUCCUAUCCACUCUCAUGUAUUUAUGAAUUCGUCUUCUUCAUUAAUGUUAAUGUCACUUUCUAAUUUACUUUAGACCCGAUGUCUCGGCGAAGAAAGCCUAUCCUUAAUUACUAGUUUACAAUGUCUUGUCUCCCUAACAAUUAAUUCUGCAUUAUAAACGCACAGAAGCUUAAAGGCAACCAAUCCUCAUAUCCCUAUGUCUAGGCAAUACUGCUUUUGGGAGAGAUUCCCAGAUCUAGAUUUUCCCGUAUGUGUCCAUAUCGACAAAAUCAAUUAUCAUGUUAUGAAUGAGUUAAACAAAGCAAACAUAGAGUAUAGACGAAAAACCCUAACAAUUAAUGAACAAAGAAUUUAAAAUAAGAAUCAAUUCAAUACAUGAGAGUUUCAAAGGAUUACAUAAUUUCCCCAAUAACAAUUGAAGUUUAGUUCACGAUAGACAUGGUGAAACUAGAUGAAUAAUGGAAAAGAAUGAGAUAGAAAAACCCUAAAAGUUGAAGAUAGGAGCUUCCGCCUCCUAAUCCGCCUCCAAGAGAGUGUUUCUGCGCCUCUUCUGUUAAAAGAUACCAAGUCUAGGAUGUCCAAAUCCUUAAAUAGAGCACAAAAAAAAUCCAAGCCCACGAGACUGGUGCUCAUCGCCCCAACUUAGUGCGCCCAGGCGUGACUACGAAAGCAUUUGUGCUCAGCGGCCCUAGAAGGGCGCCCAGGCGUGAGUUGUGGUACUAACUGGCGCUCAGCGGCACAAAAAGGGCGCUCAAGCGCCAAGGCGAGACUUCAGCGCUGAGGUCCUCCAAAAGGGCACUCAGGCGCCACCUGCGGUUCUUCUCUCUGAUGAUUUUCCAACUUUUCCUGAGUUUCAGCUCCUUGAUACUUAAACUCUUCUUUCAAACCAUCCUAAUUCUUGUUAAAAUUAGGAAAACCAAGCGUAAAACCAAAAAUUCCACCUUCAAUUCUCUUAUUCUCAUAACUAAAGCAAAAUCAUGAUUUUAAGUAAGUUUCUAAGUCAUAAAGGAUGUUUUUAGUAUCUAAAUUAAGUAUCAAAUAACGGUAUUUUCAACCGUUAUCAACAUGCAUACCCCAAAGACUUUCAAAUAACAUCCUAUAUAGUACAUUUACAAACAAAUAUCCUAUUGAACAUGUGCUUAGUUUUGAUAAACUAUCUCUUGAAUAUUGAAAUUUUAUCUCCUCUAUAGACAACACCAAUGUAAGGUGCCACCAUCACCAUCCUGUUAAUCUACGUUGAUGAUAUCAUUCUCAUUGGAAAUAAUAUAUUUGCAAUUGAUCAUAUUACUAAUAUACUAAAUGAGCAAUUAAAAAUAAAAAACAUGAGUAACUUGUCUUACUUUUUGAGUUUCGAGGUUGCUCGCAACUCUGCAGGAAUCCAUGUAUCACAACGUAAGUAUGCAUUGGAUUUUCUCAAUGAAACCGGGAUGCUCGUCGCUGCCCCUUUAGUACACCCAUGAAUUUCUCUACAAAAGUGUCCUCCAAAGGCCAACUGCUUGCGGAUCCCACUGCCUUU